ensembl:lncRNA
GUCUCUCCCCAAGGGUGUUUGACAGACUGUGCCUGGAACCAGAGGGAAAAGAAUGAACGUGGAUGCUGUUUGUCACUGGCUACCAUCAGUGGGGGCUUCCAGUGAGUUACAAAUAAGGCUCAAAAGCCACUCGGCAGAAGUCCCUAGUGUCCUCCCUUCAGGGCCAGGGGCUUUAUUCAAAAAGGGAGCCAUCUUGUGCGCAGUUCUCAUCUGCAGGUUUUUCAAGGAAUCUCCAUGCUGUUUUCCAUAGUGGCUGUACCAACGUAAUUCCCGUCAACAGUGUAGGAGGGGUCAUUCAUUCUUGAUUUUGUAAUUUUCACACUUGGGAUUCCCAUCUGUCUACAAUCCCAUUUUUACAAAUGAAGACACCAGCUUGAGAGAUAUAGACAUGCACAUGUCUGAGCAUAAAAUAUAAGUGGCCAAAAAGCAUAUGAAAAGUCUUUUCCAAAGAGUCAACUCUUCGCAUGAGGUGGCCAAAGUACUGGAGUUUCAGCUUUAGCAUCAUUCCUUCCAAAGAAAUCCCAGGGCUGAUCUCCUUCAGAAUGGACUGGUUGGAUCUCCUUGAAGUCCAAGGGACUCUCAAGAGUCUUCUCCAAGCAUCACUGACUCGAUGGACAUGAGUCUGAGUGAAAUCCAGGAGUUGGUGAUGGACAGGGAGACCUGGCGUGCUGUGAUUCAUGGGGUCACAAAGAGUUGGACACAACUGAGCGACUGAACUGAACUGACUGACUGAACUGAAGCACUUAAUAAACAUGAGCUGAGGGAUUUCCCUGGUGGCUCAGUGGUAAAGAAUCUGCCUGUCAAUGCAGGAGACAUGGGUUCCAUCUCCGGUCUGAGAGGAUCCCACAUGCCACAGAGCAACUAAUCCUGUGUACCUGCACCACAACUAAGGAGCCUGUGCUCUAGAGCCUGGGAACCACAACUACUGACCCCAUGUGCCUCAGUUACUGAAAUGUGUGCCCUAGAGCCCAUGCUCUGCAACAAGAGAAGCCCCUGAAAUGAGAUGCCUGCUUACCUCAACUAGAGAGUAGCCUGCACAGCAACAAAGACACAAUACAGCCAAAAA